rnacentral:rRNA from 1 species
UAAGACGAACCGUGCGAACGUUGUUCGGAAUCACUGGGCUUAAAGGGCGCGUAGGCGGUUGGUCAAGUCAGGGGUGAAAUCUUUCGGCUCAACCGGAAAACUGCCUUUGAUACUGACUGGCUGGAGGGAGAUAGGGGUUGCGGGAACUACCAGUGGAGCGGUGAAAUGCGUUGAUAUUGGUAGGAACGCCGGUGGCGAAAGCGCGCAACUGGAUCUCUUCUGACGCUGAGGCGCGAAAGCUAGGGGAGCAAACGGGAUUAGAUACCCCGGUAGUCCUAGCCUUAAACGAUGAGAACUAGGUUGUGGACUUGACAUGGGUUCACAGCCGAAGCAAAAGUGCUAAGUUCUCCGCCUGGGGAGUAUGGUCGCAAGGCUG